rnacentral:rRNA from 1 species
AUUGAACGCUGGCGGCAGGCCUAACACAUGCAAGUCGAGCGGAGCGGCGGACGGGUGAGGAAUGCCUAGGAAUCUGCCUGGGCGUGGGGGAUAACGUCCGGAAACGGGCGCUAAUACCGCAAACUAUAAGAUGAGACUCGGUCGGAUUAGCUAGUUGGUGGGGUAACGGCUUACCAGGGCGACGAUCCGUAACUGGUCUGAGAGGAGGAUCAGUCACACUGGAACUGAGACACGGUCCAGACUCCUACGGGAGGCAUCAGUGGGGAAUAUUGGACAAUGGGCGAAAGCCUGAUCCAGCCAUGCCGCGUGUGUGAAGAAGGUCUUCGGAUUGUAAUGCACUUUAAGUUGGGAGGCGUUACCAACAGAAUAAGCACCGGCUAACUUCGUGCCAGCAGCCGCGGUAAUAC